rnacentral:rRNA from 1 species
UUUAUCGGAGAGUUUGAUCCUGGCUCAGGACGAACGCUGGCGGCGUGCCUAAUACAUGCAAGUCGAGCGGACAGAUGGGAGCUUGCCCUGAUGUUAGCGGCGGACGGGUGAGUAACACGUGGGUAACCUGCCUGUAAGACUGGGAUAACUCCGGGAAACCGGGGCUAAUACCGGAUGGUUGUCUGGACCGCAUGGUUCAGACAUAAAAGGUGGCUUCGGGUACCACUUACAGAUGGACCCGCGGCGCAUUAGCUAGUUGGUGAGGUAACGGCUCACCAAGGCGACGAUGCGUAGCCGACCUGAGAGGGUGAUCGGCCACACUGGGACUGAGACACGGCCCAGACUCCUACGGGAGGCAGCAGUAGGGAAUCUUCCGCAAUGGACGAAAGUCUGACGGAGCAACGCCGCGUGAGUGAUGAAGGUUUUCGGAUCGUAAAGCUCUGUUGUUAGGGAAGAACAAGUGCCGUUCAAAUAGGGCGGCACCUUGACGGUACCUAACCAGAAAGCCACGGCUAACUACGUGCCAGCAGCCGCGGUAAUACGUAGGUGGCAAGCGUUGUCCGGAAUUAUUGGGCGUAAAGGGCUCGCAGGCGGUUUCUUAAGUCUGGUGAAAGCCCCCGGCUCAACCGGGGAGGGUCCUUGGAAACUGGGGAACUUGAGUGCAGAAGAGGAGAGUGGAAUUCCACGUGUAGCGGUGAAAUGCGUAGAGAUGUGGAGGAACACCAGUGGCGAAGGCGACUCUCUGGUCUGUAACUGACGCUGAGGAGCGAAAGCGUGGGGAGCGAACAGGAUUAGAUACCCUGGUAGUCCACGCCGUAAACGAUGAGUGCUAAGUGUUAGGGGGUUUCCGCCCCUUAGUGCUGCAGCUAACGCAUUAAGCACUCCGCCUGGGGAGUACGGUCGCAAGACUGAAACUCAAAGGAAUUGACGGGGGCCCGCACAAGCGGUGGAGCAUGUGGUUUAAUUCGAAGCAACGCGAAGAACCUUACCAGGUCUUGACAUCCUCUGACAAUCCUAGAGAUAGGACGUCCCCUUCGGGGGCGAGUGACAGGUGGUGCAUGGUUGUCGUCAGCACGU